rnacentral:rRNA from 1 species
UACGUGGGGUGCGAGCGUUGUUCGGAAUUACUGGGCGUAAAGCGCGUGUAGGCGGUUCGCUAAGUUCGAUGUGAAAGCCCUGGGCUUAACCCAGGAACUGCAUUGAAAACUGGUGGACUUGAGUCCGGGAGAGGGAUGUGGAAUUCCAGGUGUAGCGGUGAAAUGCGUAGAUAUCUGGAGGAACACCGGUGGCGAAGGCGGCAUCCUGGACCGGUAUUGACGCUGAGGCGCGAAAGCCAGGGGAGCAAACGGG